UACGGAGGGGGCGAGCGUUAUUCGGAAUUAUUGGGCGUAAAGGGCGCGUAGGCGGCUUGACAAGUCAAAGGUGAAAUCCCUCGGCUCAACUGAGGAACUGCCUUUGAUACUGCAAGUCUUGAGUCCGGAAGAGGUGAGUGGAAUUCCUAGUGUAGAGGUGAAAUUCGUAGAUAUUAGGAAGAACACCAGUGGCGAAGGCGGCUCACUGGUCCGGUACUGACGCUGAGGUGCGAAAGCGUGGGGAGCAAACAGG
rnacentral:rRNA from 1 species